ACGUAGUUAGCCGAGACUUAUUCCGGGGAUACCGUCCUUCCUCUUCUCCCGAAAAGUGGUUUACAACCCAAGGCCGUCAUCCCACACGCGGCGUUGCUGCGUCAGGCUUUCGCCCAUUGUCGCAAUAUCCCUU
rnacentral:rRNA from 1 species